rnacentral:rRNA from 1 species
UGCUCAGAACGAACGCUGGCGGCAGGCUUAACACAUGCAAGUCGAACGCAUCCUUCGGGGUGAGUGGCAGACGGGUGAGUAACGCGUGGGAACGUGCCCUUCAGUUCGGGAUAACCCAGGGAAACUUGGGCUAAUACCGGAUACGUGCGAGAGCAGAAAGAUUUAUCGCUGAAGGAUCGGCCCGCGUCUGAUUAGCUAGUUGGUAGGGUAAUGGCCUACCAAGGCGACGAUCAGUAGCUGGUCUGAGAGGAUGAUCAGCCACAUUGGGACUGAGACACGGCCCAAACUCCUACGGGAGGCAGCAGUGGGGAAUAUUGGACAAUGGGCGCAAGCCUGAUCCAGCCAUGCCGCGUGAGUGAUGAAGGCCUUAGGGUUGUAAAGCUCUUUCGUCCGGGACGAUAAUGACGGUACCGGAAGAAGAAGCCCCGG